rnacentral:rRNA from 1 species
AGCAGCCGCGGUAAUUCCAGCUCCAAUAGCGUAUAUUAAAGUUGUUGCAGUUAAAAAGCUCGUAGUUGAAUUUCGAGAUCAAUUUGUCGGUCGUGCCUCGGUACGUACUGGCAUUAUUGAUUUCUCCCUUCUGAAGAACCGCGAUGUCAUUAAUUUGGUGUCGCGGGGAAUCAGGACUGUUACUUUGAAAAAUUAGAGUGUUUAAAGCAGGCGCACGCUUGAAUACAUUAGCAUGGAAUAAUGAAAUAGGACGUUUGAUUCUAUUUUGUUGGUUUCUAGGAUCGACGUAAUGAUUAAUAGGGAUAGUUGGGGACAUUAGUAUUCAAUUGUCAGAGGUGAAAUUCUUGGAUUUAUUGAAGACUAACUACUGCGAAAGCAUUUGCCAAGGAUGUUUUCAUUAAUCAAGAACGAAAGUUAGGGGAUCGAAGACGAUCAGAUACCGUCGUAGUCUUAACCAUAAACUAUGCCGACUAGGGAUCGGAUGAUGUUAAUUUUUAAUGA